rnacentral:tRNA from 1 species
UCCCUGGUGGCUCAGAUGGCAGAGAAUCCACCUGCAAUGCGGGAGACCCAGGUUUAAUCCUUGGCUUGGGAA